rnacentral:rRNA from 1 species
GACGAACGCUGGCGGCGUGCUUAACACAUGCAAGUCGAGCGGUAAGGCCCUUUCGGGGGUACGACGAGCGGCGAACGGGUGAGUAACACGUGGGUGACCUGCCCUCAGCUCUGGGAUAAGCCUGGGAAACUGGGUCUAAUACUGGAUAUGACUCCACGGUGCAUGUCGGUGGGGUGGAAAGCCUUGUGCGGCUGAGGAUGGGCCCGCGGCCUAUCAGCUUGUUGGUGGGGGUGANGGCCUACCAAGGCGACGACGGGUAGCCGGCCUGAGAGGGCGACCGGCCACACGUGGGACUGAGAC